GCUCUCUCUGGCAUCCAGACAGAGGGACGGGUGUGCUUCCAAGCCAUGUGCCUUCAUUCAAAGAGACAAGAGUAUCUGCUCAGCUUUGGCCAAUGGUGUGUCACUCUUGAAGUCAGCUGGAACUGGCUCUUUUGUAACAUGGAGCAGCUGCUGGGCUUUGUUCACAAAGGCCACCCCUGCAACUCUCCCAGCUUGGUGUCGCAUGCAAACUUGCUGAGGAUGUAUUCGAUCUUACUGUCAACGUAACUGAUGAAGACAAUAAAGAGCAUCAGUCACAGUAAUGAUUCCUGAGAGAGACCACUCACCACCAAUCUCCAUCUAGACAUUGAGCUACUGACCAUCAUUCUCUGGGUACAAUCUUCAAACCAAUUCCUCGUUUAUUGAACAGUCCACAUAUUAAAUCCAUAUCUUUCCAAUUUGGAGAGAAGGAUGAUUUGUAGGACCCCAUUGAAGGCCUUACAAUAGUCCAAAUAAAUUAUAUCAAUGGCUUUUCCCUUGCCCAUUGGUGCAGUUAUACCAUCAACUUAUGCACUGGUACAGUUAUACCUUUCUAUUUCUUCUUUGUACAAUAUUGACAAGCAGUUUGUUACUGGUGUUUAUGUUCUGAGAUAAGAUUCCGGGAAUACAAGGCCUGGGUUUGUAGGCAUGGUUUUUAUCAUUCUUGUAAAAAGACAUCUCCUAAAUUUGGAGUAGAUGUCUAUUCUAAUCUUAUGGAAUGAAACACUAUAAAACACUGCAAAAAUUCAGUGGAAUAAAUCAUUAUUUCUCCCAGGUGUUUUGCAAGCAUUUUCAGGUUCUUUAAAAGCUUUAAAAUUUUUUGAAAGAUACUUUAGAUUUAAAGACACUGAUGAAUAUGUAGAAAAUAAUCACCAGAAAAAUCACCACAAAUCCAGCUUAAGUCCCAUUAUAUCAGUCCCACUAUGUAAUUCAAUCAGUAUUUGUUACCUGAUUAAAAUAUUUACAUAACUCCUGCAGUUAUGCAUCAUGAGAAGCAAAUAAGCCUGAGAGAAAAGACUAAAAUUACUGUCAAUGUGACAGUUCUUCCAUCUCUCACCUGUCCAUUACCUUUUAUUGCAUUGUCAUUCCCCUAAACUAUUCUCUCUGAAAUAAAAAAUGGCAGGUCUAAAUUUUCCACAUUCAAAUGUAUCUGUGUAAGCAGAAAAUAUGGAACUGAUGAAGGCAUAAACUUGCAAGCAGACAAAUCUGUAAAUGGGAAAAAAAAAAAAAAAGGAGGAAAAACAUAAAAAGAAAAUUAAAAAAUUACUUAAGGUGUCUGAAUUCUAGCCUAACAAAUGAGAGAUCAUUAUCUUCUAAGGCAGUCUAAAACAAAAGCAUGUUAAAGAACAACAUGUAGUAAAGAUUACAGCUUAAUAAUGUUUAUUCAUACGGGAUAAGUUGUUAUGGGAUCAUGAGGUCUUUUGUUAUGCUGUGCUUUGCAUAUGCAUGAAAAGUAACUGCUUUCCUGCUGAGAACAGAAGAUCUUCAUAGUUUUGGGUACCAAGGAUUACUUCCUUAAAAUCAGCCAAGCAAAAUUAACUACACAUUAAUUUAAUAAUAUUUUCAUAUACUUAUUUAAUUUAAGGCAGUAAGAGUCAUCUUGAAUACUGGGUGACAAAUAGCUUUUCUUUUCUUCCCAGGUAUAAACAAAUACUGAUAAGAAAUUCUGCUUUUCUUCAAAGAGCUUUAGGUAUUUCAAUUUUACUUUGGUGCCU
ensembl:lncRNA